AAUGUGUUAAAACUAGAAUAUAGAAUUAUCCAUUUAGUAAUUAGUUAUAUUUUCUCAGAGGUCAAAAUGGGAUUUCCAUUUAAACAAUUUGUUCUGUUUCUUCAGCUGCAGACUAUCUAUGCUCAAUGGCAGACAGUGUCUUUUGGAUUGAGUAUAGAACUGAAAUGGAGAAUAGAAAAUGAAAAUUUCAUUUUUGAAAUGACUGGACCUAGAACAGAUAACAUAGGGUUGGCUUUCUCCUAUACAAAUAUACCUGUGGAUGGAUUUAUUGUAAGUAUUUGAAAUAUGUUUAACACAAAUGUAAGUUGGGAGGGAAUGGGCAAUAGCC